ACAAGAUUUCUUGGCAAAUCCUUCAUGGUAUUAGGACCUUGCUUGUUGCAGGUGAAAUGCACUCUCAUUAUAUGAAAAUUGUGAUUUCAAAUGAAGAUUUGAAGACUACAAAUUCAACUCUGAUCAACUAAUUGUGGUCUUUCCUUUUACAAAUUCUCUUUCACUUCUGGCAAAGAUAUGCAAAUAAUGUUGGAAAACUGUGAGAUUUUUUUGGUCUGAGAACAUGGAGCAAAGAAUAUGGAGAAUAAGGCGUUGAAUUCUGACUGCUAUUUUGUUAUAUAAGAAGGCAUUUUAUUGAUUUUUUUCAGCCAAAUCUGCAAUCAGCUUGGAGUUGGAAAUUUCUUCCUGUGGCAUUGAAGUUUAUAAAAAAAUUUGCUAUUUUUUCCAGCAAGCAUUUCAACAUACAGGUACAUUUGGUUUUCUUAAGCCAUUUUCAGGAGUCUCAUUGACAUAAAUAGAAUAUUUUUCAGUAGGAGUGGAAUAUUUUGACGUCUAAAACAUUUUUUGAAAAUUCAUACGAGAUCAAAUGGACAAGCGAAAAGGCAUUAAAUUAUUGAGAGUAGAAAAAAAAAAUUGAAAAUUCAAAUCACUAUUUGUAUUUGUUUUUAUUUUGAAUUGUCUUUGCCUUAGUUUGUGCAUAAAUGUUUUGUCAUUGACAUAAGUCCUUCAUUGUAAAGAGGAGUGUGAAACUAUUUUCCCUUCCUCAAACUUGCAAAAGAAAAUUUGCAUUUUUUUUUAAGUUAUUUUGUAAAAGUUAUAAUGCACUAUAUUAUAAAGUGUCAGAUUUGAGGGGAGGAUUUCUAUUGAAUCAAGGGGAAAGUUUAUGUGUUGAAUACCCUUAAUAUUUCUUCUAUAUUCAAUUUUAGUUACAGCAAAUAACUCAGAACAUGAACCAAAACAAUCCUCUUUUAACUCCAUUUAACUAUCAUAAAUGGAAAGGUAAAGUUCUAAUUUAAGAAAAGAACAAAGACCUCAAUAGAGUCACAAUAGGGGUAGAAAAAGAGUUAAUUGAUGAUAAUGCUGAAGUUAAAUAGUAUAAUAAAUGUGAUUAAGUCUUUGACUUCUUGUGUCUAUAUGUGUCUUCACCAUUUCUCAACUUUGAACACUCGAAGUUUGAGAUAUUCUUGAAAAAUUCUUUAAGAAGCAAGAGGUCAUGAGUUGGAGAAUGAGCUAAUUAAUUUGAGCACCAUUUCAUUUGACACUUUAGAAUAGUUCUCCAACAAAUUCAAAUCACUACCGUCACAGGCCACAGCUCAAGAAAUGUGGAAUAGACAAAAAGGAUAAUCAACUAGUUCUCUCCAUUCUCACCAUUCUCUCCAUUCUCUAAGCUUGGCCUUUAUUAUUCAGUGUUUGUCACAACUUUUUACUCCACCAAAAGUGCUAUGGGAACCACUUGAAAAAUGCCCUCUUUAGACCUAGAUUUUUGUGUUUUAACAGAAGUUUGUAGCUGCUUCAACUCAAAUAUCCCAUGAACUCUCUACAAGAUCUGCUGCAAAAUUUAGAAACCGAAGUAAAUUCUAAAAGUGAUUGUUUGAAGAUAUUGAAUGUUAUAAAAGAGAAAUUGGAAGGGAAUGGCUAAGAAUUACCAGAGGAAUGGAAGAAUAAAAUAGCUCAGUUUUUCAAGUCAUAUAAACCUGCAUUCUGCCCCUCCUGCAAAUCUUCAGAGAAAUGCAUUUUUCGUUAUUUGAACAAUAGAAACCUUGACAACAUUGUUCAGCCUCGGUUUCUGUGCUGCAGUUGCAACAAACAUUUUACGCUUGCUAGCUGUCAAUAUCAAAUCUACAUUACAAGAAAGAGGAAGAGCUCAGUCUCAGAAGUAGGGUUCAAUAAUAUUAAAUGCCAAAACAACCUCAGAGGAAUAUGAAUCCAAUCAUAAUAUGUAUAUAUUAUAACAACCCAUCUGAGAAUUUAGCAUAUUGCAGAUAGAGUGAAAAUUUUAUUGCAUUAGAGGCUCUUUCAGGGUUUACUGAAUGAUUGUAGAUCACGGUAACGAUCUUGCACUAAGACAAAACUAAAAGCUACAGAAUAUAAAGAAUCAUAAUCAAGUUGAUUAUGCCUCA